rnacentral:rRNA from 1 species
CAGCAGCCGCGGUAAUACGUAGGGUGCGAGCGUUAAUCGGAAUUACUGGGCGUAAAGCGUGCGCAGGCGGUUUGUUAAGAUAGGCGUGAAAUCCCCGGGCUCAACCUGGGAACUGCGUUUAUGACUGGCAGGCUAGAGUAUGGCAGAGGGGGGUGGAAUUCCACGUGUAGCAGUGAAAUGCGUAGAGAUGUGGAGGAACACCGAUGGCGAAGGCAGCCCCCUGGGCCAAUACUGACGCUCAUGCACGAAAGCGUGGGUAGCAAACAGGAUUAGAUACCCUGGUAGUCCACGCCCUAAACGAUGUCAACUAGGUGUUGGGUGGGUAAAACCAUUUAGUACCGGAGCUAACGCGUGAAGUUGACCGCCUGGGGAGUACGGCCGCAAGGUUAAAACUCAAAGGAAUUGACGG